rnacentral:lncRNA from 1 species
AGCUCCCGAGCACGCCGGAGGCCUGGCCUGUGGAUGAGAUUGUUCCUUAUUUCCCCAGCUUCAGCACCACAGAAGAGACCAGAGUCUACCUUGCCAGCUCCUCUAGCACCGACCACGUGCCAAUUCAUGUCCUGAAUGCUCACUUCACUUCUUCACCUUGCUUCACUUCACUUACUGCACGGGAACAGAAAAGCCUAGAGAGGAUGGAUUACCUGUGCGGUUGCCUCCCUCUGCAGAGUGGGCGUGUCUCAGGAGCUUCUCUUCUUCUCCAGCCCAGUGCGGCCUCGUGUCAUCCAUAGGACCCACCGGCAGAGGGCAGGGCCUGCGAGUGGGGCCAGCCUCCUGGUGACUCUCGCCUCCUCUUUUCCAGCGGACGCUACCAGAGGACGAAGGUCUGACUCUGGCCAACGGCCCAGAAUUUCUGGCCCAGUUUUGCCUGAGGAAGCCAACUGUGCAGGAGGUCAGGAUCCCGGUAGGGUGAGAGUGGGAAAGUUAACAUUCCCAAGAGACUCCAAGCAACAGGAUUUCCUGACCUGGGACUAUUACCUUUCUCACAUUACAUGGCCAGAUUUACUUCCUGCUAUUAUUAAAAGUACGAAAAAGAUGAAGAUAUGUGUUUAAUGGAAACAAGGGCAAGAGUUUGCCUGACUGGACUUUGAGGAGGCUGUAGGAUCAUGGCGCUAACGGCAUUUGGAGGGCUGGGAAGGGACUCUAGCCCUGGCUUUACCUGCCUUUGUCAUCAGCUGGAGCAAGCAACUCCGCAACCUCGGAGCCUCAGUUUCCUUUUCUGUAAAAGGCGGGGAGGGUGGGUGGUAAGUGCAAUGCUGAAUCAGAACUCAUAGAGCUGCUGGGUGGACAUGUGAAGUAAAAGAGGAGACAGCUUUUGCUCCUGAAGGAUGCCAUUUGCGUUUUCCUCAUCAGUUUGAUCUCCUCCAAUCAUCCAGCACCUCCAUCUGACCUUCUCAGCUGAGAGGUCCUCAGUGUUUCUGUGGCCUCCAGGAGAAAGGUCCCCCUCCCCGGCUGAGGCCAGGCUGAUGGCAGGCUGCACGGCCAGCCUUCCACAGUCACCUGAAGGAUACAGAAAAGGAAGAGCUGGAGGCUUCUAGCAAGCUGCCGAACUGUGUCCUCCAGCUGCGCCCAGCCCCCUGGAGGUAGCGCCGGAGCACGUGGUGGUGGCUAUGUAGGAAGGCCCCUUUCGAGCCGCCCUAUACUGUCUUUGGGAUCUGCUUUUUACUGCCACAGCCUAUGUGCUCCUGAUUCUUCUCUCAAUCCCUGGAUGGAAACCGGCCUCUGAUACUUGGCUCUGCUUCCUUGGAGGAGCUACUUAACCAUUCAGUCCUCUCUGCAGUUAGCUAUUAAGGUUGUCCUGCGAACUGAAGCAGAGAGUCCCCGCAAAGGGUGCAGAGUAGGGCACCCACAGAGGAGCCUCUAAAGCACUUUCCAUGAGGUGGAUGGCUUCUCCUCCCCAAGGGACCCAGGAAGGAAAGGAGAGCUGCUUCUGCCUCCCCAGCAGAGAGGGACCUUCCCAGAGAAGAUGUCUUGCGCCUCACCUGAUCUUGUUCUGAGAGUAGGAGACUGGAAGAGAAGCGUUCAACUCCCCAAACACAGCUGGGUUUGUUUCGUUUAAUCUCCCAGCCUGUUUUUCUGCUGUCCUCCUGAAGAAUGUUUAAUCUCACAGUUAAAACCACCAAAAGCGACUUUUUUCCCCCUCAACUGCUCAGUAACACAUGACCGUGCAAAUUCGUUUGGCCCCAGCGCCACAAGUCAUAAAAGGCAUCUAGUGGGCGGCAUGAGUCAAUCAGGCCUUUGGACGGUGACGUAACCACAGCUUGUCAGUUUCCCCAUCCAGGCAGCCCCAAUCCCCCAGUGCAGACAUCUGGAGCCAGGGAUUGACAAGUGGAUUCCAGGAUUGGGCCCUGCCUCCCGCCCUGUUCAGUUCCAGCCCAGCCACGGCCGCCGCCAACGAGGACACGCACUGUCUUUCUGCACAUUCCCACGUACACACACCCCCGCAGCCCCCUCUCCACUCAUUCCUGCAUUUCCGGCAAUGUGAAUUCUGACAGCUCGGGCAGUGUCAGCCUCUCCGGUGCAUUCCUCACCACACCACCUCACUGCUCCCGAGCCUGCUGACAGCACUCCCCGCCAUACCUACCAAGCCGAAGGUGCAAGGAACCUCUUGAUCCCCACUGUGUCUUUGUCCCAGGGCCACAGCAAAAUAGCACCCCCCUCCCCCACACACCCUCUAGCCUAAUUUAUUAGACUUUUAAACACAUUUAUUUACUGUGAUAUCUACACCACACCAAACAUCUGGAGGGAAACCGGGAGACAAUCCACCAGGAAUUUAAAUGUUUGUUCUGCAAUGUAACUUUGAAAACCGAACCAGGAAAACUUGACAUCUUUAGCCAAUUGCUUGGUGUGAAAUCCAAUGGGAUAUUGGGGCCUGCAAAGGAGAAGAGGAGAUCCGCACAAACCCGUUCCUGGCUGCUGCAUUCACCUCCAGCGUUUGUGAUGCCCCAGAGCACAGAACUCCAGGGAGCCCACGAUGCAGGAGAGUUCAGCGACAUUCACUGAGUACAAGAGAAGUGAGUUACUCCUGCAGCUGAGCACGGGGGGCGCUGGCAACUGCGAAAGGUCUCGCUUUCCAUUCCAACCAGAACUUGCUCCUAGCGCAGACAGAAGGCCGUGGCAUUCUGAGAAACACACAUGAUGAAGGAGCCCUGUCAUAUCCUCUCUUCCUUGCAUCGCUUCCCCGUGUGAGCAACCACUUGUGCUGGAAAUGAUGACAAGGAAGGACCGGGAAAGACAGGGCCACCCGCAGUUCCUUUUCCUUGACGUCUUUCCUUCCUCAUCAGCGAGCUGAGGUGGAGAGCGUUGGUAGAAUGUGUGCAUAAUAAGAAGUGAAAUAAAAACAGUCGAGUUAGUAUUCUACUGUUUCCACUGUUCUGGUGAGAACAAAACACAUAUGCUGUAUAUGCUUUGAAAUACAAAGUGUGUAAUUUUAGUGAUUCUGCAUAGGAGUUAAAUGUUUUUAUAUUUGCAUUUAAAACUGCCAUUGUAUACUAUAAAGAUAAAGAGUAAAAUGUAUUCUAAUAGUUUAACUUUACUAAUAAUUUAGUUUUUACUUUUAUUUACCUAGAGUAACAUUAAAUAGCAAACAAACAAAACAAACAUCACAAGUUGAGAGAGAAACCACAAAAGAAAGAAAAAAGCUUUAUAUGUUAGUACCUUGAGAGGCACUUUUUCCUGCUUUUUGAGUAGGGAUUCAUGUUUUCCCGUUGCACUGGGCCUCACAAA